GCCAACCUGCUACUAGUUCUGUGAAUUCCAGCAGGCUACCCUUCCUCAAUCCUGCUUGGAUCCCCAUUGGAGAUGUGGUCUUGCCCUCUCCUCCCUCCAUUCACAGGGCAGGAAACUGAGUCCUGAGAGGAGACAAGCCCCAGAUUACUCAGGGCUCUGCAAAAAGCCAGGCUGGAGCUCAGGGCUCCUGGGUCCCCAACUCGUGCCUCUUGUGGCAACCAUCCACAGACCAUGAGCUUCCCAGGGUUAUUUGGACACAGAUGACAUAACAGGCAGGAAUGCGCUUUGGAAAAGUACAUGACACCGGGCAAGUAAGAGUGCUGGGCCAACGUGCUACGAUGGGCAAAGGGCUGGGGAAGAAGAAAGGUGGUGGCGCUCUGGCCCCUGGCAGCCUGGGACAAGAAGAUCGCAGGCAGGGAAGAGGCCGGCAGAAGCUGUCAGGCCAAUGAUUGUGAAAGCCAAGGUUCUCCCAUCAGAGACUGAGAAAGAGGAAGAGGCUCCGGCUAGCCUGAGUGCACGAGCAGAGUCUGUUCUUCACCAGGUUUCCUUCGGGGCCAAGCUGAUGGACUACUUGGUGGCGACCUAGAGAAGGGGAACAAUUGUGGAGUCUGGAAUCUGUGACUCCCAGGAUGCCGCCCCGGUCACCCAUCUGUGACCACCCUAGGGCUGAGGCUACCUUCUAGAACAUCCUACCCUCUUCCGGGGUUUUCUUGUGGUGUCCUCUGCAGUCUCCAGCUCGGGCUUCUAGCAGUUGAGAAUACCCACCUGCUGUUCACCCACCAGUUGGGGAAUUCCCGCCAAGAGUGGGACCUGGGUCCUACCCAGCCCUGCGGCCAGAGUGCCCAGGGUAGGGGGCAUAGUACAGAACAUUUGUAAAACAAACCACUUCUGGAUUUCGCUUUCAGGCAAAACAGGCUCCAUGUGUAUCCAUUUUGCCAGAGCCGUGCUCAUCCUAAGAGAUUUUACCUUGGCCAUUUAUCGAACCCCUGGAUCUCAUUGGAACAAAAUUCUGGACAAAGAAAAGAAAAGAAAAGAAGCCUAAGGAAUUGCAGAAUUGCUGUAACAGUCUCGUGUGACAGAUGGGGACCUCAGGUCAGAGGGCAAACUCCCAGAAUAGUCAGCAAACAAAAGCCAGGGCUGGAACUUGAGUCCUUUCGAUUGCUUGACUGACAGUUUACCCUCCGACCUCUUCCAUCCUGCCAAGUCUUUUCAAAAAGAAGAGUGAUGGGUUACCCCUCCAAAGCCUAACCUUCAGGUGACCUCAGGCACUGGCUUCUCUGGAGGCCAUCUCCUCAGAGCUCUCCCCAUGAUGUCAGGACUUCUGCAUGGCUGAGCCUCCCCUGCACCCCACGGUGGCCCUGGGGGCAGAAGGUACUCAUCAAUCUUAAAAGCAGAGAGGAGAGGAGGGAGCUGCUGCAUUUAUCAGUACCUGCAGCACCAGUGAGGCACCAGGCACCAUGCCAGGGUCUGCUUCCACAUCUUGGUUUAACCACCAUGAACAGGUGCUGGGGGAGACACUGCUCCCACUUCACAGACGAGAAAACGGGAGGCUGGAGAGGAAAAGGUGGAUAACCAGAAGGUCCUUGGCUUCUGUGACGCUUCCGGUAGGAGGUCUCUGACACCAAGUCCUAUGCCCUUCCUGCCCAUCCUCCCCCUUGCUUCUGGGCACUGGCCCCUGAAGGAAACAAGGCUUCUACCCUGUGCUUUCUAUGUAGGUCAAAUUCUAUCCUAGCAACCUUUGGGGCCUUGCCCUGUCCGAGCCAGGAUAGCCCAGGCCAAAGCUCAGAAACCUCUGGUCACUUGGGUGGAUUUUGCUCUAAGCCUCAGUUGGCAAACUAUGGCCUGUUGGCCAAAUCCAGCCUGCCAGCUAAGAAUGGGUUAACAUGUUUAAGUGGCUGGAAAAAGGGGGAAAAAAAAAAGACUAAUAUUUUGUGUGAUGUGAAAAGGAUAUUAAACUCUUUCAGUGACCACUAAUAACAUAUUAUUGGAACACAGUCACACUCACUGAUUUAUAUAUUGUUUAUAGCUGCUUUUGUGCUACAAUGGCACAGGGACUGCAUGGGCCACGGAGCAGAAAAGGUUUGUCAGCUUCUACUUGAAGCCGUAGGUCCUUGGAACUGCUAUGUGCAAACCUAGCACAAGAACCGCACAGGAUUUUCCGAGCCUUCCACGUCAUACCAGAGCAUCUUCUCUAAGUAACCAAAAAGGUGUUUGUCCUAAAACGGGAUGUUAGGGGAUCCCUGGGUGGCUCAGUGGUUUAGCGCCUGCCUUCAGCCCAGGGUGUGAUCCUGAAGUCCCAGGAUCAACAUCCUGGCUCCCUGCAUGGAGCCUGCUCCUCCCUCUACCUGUGUC